CAGUGUUACAGCUCUUUUAGAAUUUGUCUAGUAGGUUUUCCGGUUUUACCGGGAAGCCCUC
rnacentral:snRNA from 1 species